GUUUGGGAAGCACCAGACGCAGUAGUUCCAGCUGGCGAGGGAAUACCAUGCCCCCAGCGGCCCCUCCACCUCCACCCCCUCCUCCACUUCCUAGUGCUGCUGCUGCGGCGGCUACUUACCCUGGCAUUCUCUUACAUUUCUUGGCAAUGUUGUCGCAUCCAUCACUACACCAGUACAGUAUGGUAGACCCAGUGCCAGCAGAAGCCCCCGACACGGAGAACUACGAGGCUUUACUACAUCUGGCAGAGAGGCUGGGUGAGGCCAAAACCCAGAGGCCUUUUGAAAACAGUGAUUGACCAACUCCCGUCCUAUAGGUAUACAGGGGAGAAGUCUGACACUAAACAAACCACAUGUGUGAUUUGCAUGUGUGACUUCGAGCUUCGGCAGAUGUUACGAGUAUUACCGUGUCUCCACGAGUUCCACAC